AUUAUGUUAUAUUAUCUUGAAACUUGUAUAUUUAUUGUAUAUUUUAUUUUUUUUUUCACGUGCGUCUUUCGAAGUCGGUUUUUGGCUGAUACGGCAUGAUGUAUGUACCUACACUCAAUGAUUUGUUUGUCGCUGAAGUUUAAUCGCUAACUCUUGAAAGCCUUUAGAACAUUUUAUGGAACCUUUUACACUCCAUUCAGGAAAAAAGGUAUUAUUAGGAUUAGCAAGGAGUUGAUCCCACAUUAGCGCUGCUCUAUUGGAGGUGGUACAUGAGUAGAAAUCCAGUACAACAACUACACAUCCCUAUCUCCUCGAGCAGAUCAUGUGUUGAUUGUAUGUAGUACUAGAUUUACUCAUGAGUAAACUACCACCCCCAAUGGAACAGGGAUAAUACGAGAUCAACUCCUUGCUUAUCCUAAUAAUACUUUUUUCCCUGAAUGGAGUACCUAUAAAAGUUCUAAGGGCGUUAAAGAGUAAGCGAUUAAACCAAGGAGUGUAGGUUUCAUCAUGUGCAUGUCGUAUCAGCCACAAAUCGUCUUCGAAAGACAACGCACGUGGAAAAAAUAAAAUAUAUAAUAACAAUACACAAACAUAUGUACAUAUGUGUACAUUAAAGGAAACCCAACAGCUUUGGGAACUGCAAAAAACAACAAUAUAGGAAUCUCCGGAUUGGCACUUUGGCAGUAGCAGCUGCUGCAAGUCGUAUUGCAAAAACAUUUCUUCAUGUCAAUCCAAAUGAUUUCUUUGGCAACUGUUGGGCUUCCUUUAAUCCGAAAAACUUCCAAUCAUUCCUAUCAAACAACAUUACCACGCAACCAACGAAAUUGCAUUUACAAAACAAAAUAGGUAUAUUCCUUCCUCUGAAGAAGGCGACGAAAUACCAUCAACCAACGAAGACCUCUCGAUUGUCGAGAAACGUAUAUUGAUAAAAUUCCUUACAAAUUGCAUGGGUUUAGAUGGCAAACAAACUUACCGAAAAGAUCAUAUCCAUUGUGUAAUGAAUUCCAUUGCCAUGUGCAAUGAGAAAACUUCUCUCAAUGAAGGAGUUAAAACUUGAAAGGAUGAAAAACUACUUGCAGAGUUUGCGCAGAUAUGUAAAUAAUUCCUUUCUUUUUGCUAUGUUAUGAUGAUGCAAUUAGAGGAGCGAUUCCCCUUCAACUCUCACAUAUUUGAUUCACAUCAGUGCUAAGGCCGUAUCUAAUGAUCCUGAAGCUGAUUACCAUUUGCUGUAGUGAAUACUUGCCGAGGUCAAAGUUUUUUUUCCAAAAUUACUCUUUUGUGCUUAUUUUCUUUUUAAACGAUGCAAAAUAUGUCAAUAAACAAAUAUUUAACAUCUUUAGCAUUCUUAAUAGAUAAAUCAUAAUCAAUUUCGAAGAUUGGUCCACAUGUCGAAGCACAAUCACUUUUAUUAUGGUUUCAAAGAGGAUGCAUAGAUUUUCUACACAAAACACGACCGUAGUGGAAAAUUUCGGAAAUUCUUUAUGAAACUCCGUUCUUAAUGACAAUUUGUUUUUAAUACCAACUUAGACAUCUAUACUCGAAACGAGAUAAAAUUUCUUCUAGCUCGCCUCUAAACAUAUAAGUAAUUCUAUUCAAAAAGUAGUAUUCCUUUAAGCAGAGGUGUUGGAAUUUUAAAUAAAUUACUUGAAUAAAAAUAAUUUUUACUUUAAUCUGUUCUUUUCUAAUAUAUAUGCGACUACCAACUGAAAAUUCUGGGCGGAUUUGCGAGGUUUGGUGGGGCUUCACAUGACGCCUACAUUUGGGAAGCGUCGAGGAUAAAUGCAUUGCUGAAACAACGUUAUGAAAGUAACGGCCGCAACCACGAUUCAUGCAUCUUAAUUGAAGGUGAUUCUGGUUACCCUUUGCGUCCAUGGAUAAUGACACCAUAUCGCUCAGCAACUAGCCGAGAUGAAAUUUACUACAACAAAAUACACGCAAAGGGACGAAAUUGCAUCGAGCGUUUGAAUGGCAAUAUAAAGUCAGUGUUCCGGUGCCUUCAGCGCACGUUAUUCAGAUCGCCGCAGGAUGCAGGAACGAUAAUAAAUGCUGUUUGUGUUUUGCAUAACUUUAGAAGAGGUCACGGAAUAAGCGAUGACUCUAUUUUUGAUAUUCCUAUCAACAAAGAAGAAGAUAUAAGAGAUCCUGAAUAGCCAAACCUUUUCCUAAGAGAGGCUGUUAAUAUACGUGAGAAUUAAAAGAAGUAUUUCUAGGUUUACAUAUAUCGUUUAACAAAAAAACAUAUAACCAUUUAAAUGGAUAAUUCUGUGGCCUCAAUCAAUAACGGCUAAAGUCGAAAAAAAAAACAAAAUUUGGUUUUACAAUAAUGCUCCGCAUUUUUUAAAUUUGCCUCAAAAACAACUCAAUCUUUUCUUAACUCGAUCUAGAUAGUUUUAAUCUAUCGUUUUCAAUAGUUAAAAAAUUAAAAAGAUGUAGAUUUAGCAUUGGGUAGCAUCAUAAGACCUCUCAAAAAAUUUUAUCUUAGCUCACUUAAGCGGUUAUUGGUUGUGGCCACAGAAUUAAUGUUGUUGUGAAAUUUAAAAUUAUAUAAAGGAAAACGAAAAAUUCUUACAUACAUUUUUAAUGCAUGUUGUAUUAAGAGAAAAGAAUAAAUAAAGUAAGUAAUUAAAUCAUAUGAUAAAAUAAAUACUAGGUAUACUAAAGUAAAUAGGAACGUAAAAUAUUUUAAAUUCUUGAACAAUUUAAUGUGGUAAUUUUUAUAGAAUUUUUUUGGGCGGUGUUUCUAGAAAGGUCAUCCUCUUCAUCAAGUCCUUUAAAUACAAAUAUUAUAAUAUAAUGAAUACAACUAUCUUAAAACCCAUAAAAUAUAAUUAAUUAAUACUUACUAUUGAACAAUAUUUGUUGAGAGACAAAAAUUUUUUGAUUACAAAAUUUUGAUAGAUAGGGAGAGUGGGGCACAUUUGAACACUUUUUGCUCUCGAAGCUUGAACGAAAUAUGUUCAAUUUCUUGAUCUGUAAAGUUUACUAACAUUGAUCAGUAACAUUGAACUUCGAUUUCAAAGAACAUUGGGUUAGUUAAACAAAUUAUUUAUAUUGAAUUUUGAUGUUUUAAAAAUAUAGGCUCAUGUUCAAAAGUGCCCCAUAUAUGGAUCAGUUUUGAACAUGGGUACUUUUGACCAGCAGUAUUAGUUUCGUUGUUAUGAAUAAAUAAUACUUAACUUUUUAUUAUUUUUUUAAUAAGAACAUACAAAAACUCCAAAUUGAUUGUUAUAUUAUAUCCAAUUAACCAACAAAUAAUAAAAACUCAGAAAAAAUAACAUUAAAAUGUAUACUAUAGUUAUCAGUUUAUCACAUUUAUAAGUUCAAAAGAAAAACAAAAACCAAGAAAAAUUCAUUUAAAAUAUAUCUUAGAAAAAUGGUAUUCAUACCAUUUAUGCUUCUCAGAGUAAAAUAGAUUUAUUUGCGAUCUAAAUCGCAUUUAGAUUUAAAUAUUAAAUCUAAAUGUUAACAAAGCGGAUGUUCUUCAUGUACCAGGAGCAUUAAUUGGUGUAGGUAGCUUGAUUUUAAUUUUUAUAACGCUUAAGCGGUAUAUAAUCGAGUUCUCAUCGAUAAAAGUCUAGCAGAACUUGAAGAAUUCAGGCAUUUUUUUAAAUCUUCAAUUAUGUUGUACAUAUUCCCAUUUUUUCUUUAAUUUUGGCCACAAAUGCUAGUUUCAUUAUUUUUUUUUAUAAGAACAUUGCGAUUUAUUAAAUAAAACACAUUCAAGUGUCCUUAAAAUGUCUGAUACAAACUGCUCGGAGCGGUUUUGAACAUGUUCAAAAGUGCUCCACCAUACUUGUUCAAAACUGCCCCAACUGUGUGAACGACAUAAAAUGUUGAAUAAAUAUUUAACAUUAAUAUAUUCAUUCAAAAAUUCACCGUCAAUUAGUUUAAAAUUCAUUAACCAUUAACAAAAAUUGUAUUGCGUUUUAAAAUUACGUACCAAUUUUUUUUUUAACUCUUACAACUAAAAAACUGAAAUAAUGUAAAACCACUAUAAAAAUCACCUUCCACCUAUAAAUCUGAAAGUCAGCCAAGAUAACGAUGGAAAGUCAUUGACAUUUAUGGUAAUCGUGUUGACGGGUUCAAUUCAAAUAUCGUAAUACUUCUAAAAAAGAUUGAUAUGCUAAAAUUUUAUAUGCAGUGUUCAAAUGUGCCCCGUGUUCAAAACUGCCCCGAUCUCCCCUACACACUAUAUAUGUGCCUAUGAUUAUGAAAGUGGACUAAGUCACUUUUUGCAUUGUUUGAAGAAAAACUUACAUAAUAAUUUUCUUAUAACGAUUUAAUUAAUUUCUUUUAUGAAAUCACUAGAGGAGCAAUAAAGAAGUCUAUUUGCUGCAAUUUCGCUUUCAAAUAAACUUUACCCCUUAAAUAAUAAUUAUUUUUAGGCUAGAUUUGAUGCCAUUUUUAGGAGUGACUUAGUCCACUUUCAUAAUUAAGGGCACAUAUUUGAGUUAAUUUUCCUAUUAAAUAUUUCGUUAUUUUUGUAUAAAUCAAAAUUUUUUUGUCUUUCAACAAAUAUUGUUCAAUUGUAAGUAUAUGUAAAUAAAUUAUUUGUUAUGGGUUUAAAGAUAGUUGUAUUCACUAUAUAAUAUUUGUAUUUAAAGGACUUGGUGAAGAGAGUGACCAUUCUCGAAACUUCGCGAAAAAAAUUUAAUGAAAAAUAUAUAUUGGUUUUAAAUCUUUUAUUUAAACAUCUGUUCGGAACAAAUUAAUUAAUAAAUCAACUUUUUGUAACAAAUCAUUGUUUUGCUUUUCAAUGAUUUCUAUUUUUUUUUCCAUGUUGCGAUUUUUGUAUGUAUUUGUUUGAUGUCUUUUACCAAUGCACCAUGCAUCUCCUUUGCUGUUUCAAUUCCAGUCUUUAAUCGAGCUGAUGGUGGUGCUUCGGUGGACUUCGGUUUUAAGGAACUUGGUGGUUAAGAAGUUUUGAUACUUUGGCUCAACUUUAGAUAUGUACUUUUGGUGGUGCCUCCAAGUUACUCUCAUCGAGUGUUAUAUCUUCUAAGAAGUAGAGUUGGGCACUUUAGUUCAUUUGAGUGAUCGAUCACUUUAGUCCAAAUCACGCUAAUGAACUAGUUCUGAACUAGUUCAUUUUAGUUCAAUUGAUUUUAAUCACUCCGGUUUUGUUAGAAUUAAAAACAAAAUUUGUUUGUACAAACUGUAUCCCAAUUUAUGUAAAAUUGACGCAUUCUACAUAAUAAAACAAAUACAACCUAAAAAUAACAGAUUAUGUACAUUUUUUAUUUUCUAUAAAAAUUCUUAAUUUCGUUCAUAUACUUGUCGAGCUUUCUGAUAAAAGUCUAGAAGAAGUACGUUUUGCUUUCAUUAAAUGGAAAUCAUAGUAAUGCAAGGACCAAGAUGCUACUUGUUUUUUGUUCUUGCUCAGAAAUAAGAGUAAGGGGUGCUUGAAGAAGAAACGCUGAUAAUGUCACAAGCGACCUUUUGUUUUACAUCUAAAUCUUGAGGUAGAGCAGAAGAACUGAUUUCGAUCAACAAAGAAUUGGAUGCAAUUUCAUAUGCACUUUAGUUUCUGCACCCCUUCUUUAAACGUCUCUCGGGUUAAAAGGGCGCUGUCGCCGUAUAAGACCAAAUUUGAAAAUUCCCUAUACAGAUGAGACUUCCUUUCGCCCAAAAAAUAUAUAAAAAAAAAUGAUAACACUGGUCAACAAAAUUUAAUUUGUUUUUUUUUGGUGCCGAGACUAAGAUAUACUUUUCUAUAGGUUUUCGGUGUGCUGAACUCGAUUCUGAAGUCAAGAAAAUCCUAUCACCU